UACGUAGGGGGCAAGCGUUGUCCGGAUUUAUUGGGCGUAAAGAGCGUGUAGGCGGCUAGGUAGGUGGGUUGUGAAAACUGGAGGCUCAACCUUCAGACGUCGACCCAAACCCCCUGGCUAGAGUCCGGAAGAGGAGAGUGGAAUUCCCGGUGUAGCGGUGAAAUGCGUAGAGAUCGGGAGGAACACCAGAGGCGAAGGCGGCAACCUGGACAAGCACUGACACUCAACUACGAAAGCGUGGGGAGCAAACAGG
rnacentral:rRNA from 1 species